rnacentral:rRNA from 1 species
UCCAGACUCCUACGGGAGGCAGCAGUGGGGAAUAUUGCACAAUGGGGGAAACCCUGAUGCAGCGACGCCGCGUGAGUGAAGAAGUAUUUCGGUAUGUAAAGCUCUAUCAGCAGGGAAGAAAAUGACGGUACCUGAUUAAGAAGCCCCGGCUAACUACGUGCCAGCAGCCGCGGUAAUACGUAGGGGGCAAGCGUUAUCCGGAUUUACUGGGUGUAAAGGGAGCGUAGACGGCAGCGCAAGUCUGGAGUGAAAUGCCGGGGCCCAACCCCGGAACUGCUCUGGAAACUGUGAAGCUGGAGUGCAGGGGAGGUAAGCGGAAUUCCUGGUGUAGCGGUGAAAUGCGUAGAUAUCAGGAGGAACACCGGCGGCGAAGGCGGCUUACUGGACUGUAACUGACGUUGAGGCUCGAAGGCGUGGGGAGCAAACAGGAUUAGAUACCCCGGUA